rnacentral:rRNA from 1 species
CCGCGGGUAAUACGUAGGGUGCAGCGUUAAUCGGAAUUACUGGGCGUAAAGCGUGCGCAGGCGGUGAUGUAAGACAGAUGUGAAAUCCCCGGGCUCAACCUGGGAACUGCAUUUGUGACUGCAUCGCUGAGUGCGGCAGAGGGGGAUGGAAUUCCGCGUGUAGCAGUGAAAUGCGUAGAUAUGCGGAGGAACACCGAUGGCGAAGGCAAUCCCCUGGGCCUGCACUGACGCUCAUGCACGAAAGCGUGGGGAGCAAACAGGAUUAGAUACCCUGGUAGUCCACGCCCUAAACGAUGUCAACUGGUUGUUGGGUCUUCACUGACUCAGUAACGAAGCUAACGCGUGAAGUUGACCGCCUGGGGAGUACGGCCGCAAGGUUG